AUUGACAAAGAGAAGAGGGAGUGGAGGUAUCCCGUGGAUCUGCAAGCAAUGACAUGUAGUUGCCGAAAGUGGCAAAUUACUAGACAACCUUGUAUACCUGCUCUGUAUUUCAUUACUUUAAUGAGAGGUCUAGCUAGUGAGAUAGAUCAGUAUGUGCAUGAAUUUUACUUAGUUAAAAAAUUCACUCUCACCUAUGCUGAAAAUUUGCGUGCAAUGGAGGGAAAACAACAGUGGGAUAUUGUUGACCCUCGGUUUAAAUUGUCUGCACCUGUGCAACACAGACCUCCUGGCAGGCCAAGGAAGACUAGGAUAAGGGCACAGUCCGAAGGAAAAGGCCUAGGAGGAAGGAUAAAUAAGUGCUCUCGUUGUGGAAGAUUAGGACACGAUGGUACUCACUGCAAAGAAUCAAUUGAUCCUGCUUUUGGAGAAGAUGAGCAUUGGGGUGCUGUAAAUGUUGAAAAUGAAGCUCUCGAAGCUACUGAAGCAACUGCCGAGACUGAUCCUAGUGAUGGAGAUGCUGAAAAUGAAGCUCUAGAAUAAACAACUCAAAUAGAAGCCCUAGAAGAAACAUCAGGAACAUAAGCUCCUAGCUCUCCUCCAACUAUUACAAGCUCUCCAACUGCUCCUAACUCUCCAGCUACUACUUCCUCUCAGGUUGUUGAUAGUGAUCUACUUGCUAGUCCAAGGAAAAAAUUUCAGAAGGCCAGCUCCUAGAGGUGUCAAGUGGGGGUCACCAAAUAAGAAGCAGAAGUCUAGCAUGGUACCAACUCUGAGCACAAGGAGCAAGGCUGCUAUUCCUCCUGCCAACACUAGGAGCAAGAUGACCAAACUGAAGUGAUCAUGAUGUGUUUGUGGUGUGAAUGUUGGUUUGUAAUGUUGUGGUGUGAACUAUUGUCUUAAGGUGCUGGGUGUGAACUUAUGAGUUUGUCUGCUGUUUAAAUACUGGCUGUGAACUUAUGUGUUUUGUAAUGAUUUGUUGUGAACUAUUCCAGUAUAAUGUGCUAUGAACUACUAAUUUGUGCUCACA